UUUCUGCUGGGAGGAAAAAUUCCUCAAAUUCAAAGCAAGAAGGACAGGCAUCUGCCAGAGUUUGUUUGUUUUGAAAAUUUACAGUACCUUGUGAAGAAACUUGCUGUGCCAGAAAAACUGAAAGCAAAAGUAGGGAGGUCCAAUAUAUAUUCCAUGCCAUGGAUCAGCUGAAGACACUGUAGUGGCUGACACACAGCAGAACAUCCCUCCCUGCCCUGCAGGGAGUAAUCAAGACCAGUCAAAUUAUUUUGGCACCUGAUAAAGAAAACUCUAAAAUUACCACUCCUCUUUCCUUACAAAAAAAGUAUGACAUAGAUCAA